rnacentral:lncRNA from 1 species
AGAGAUAGUGUUGAUGCUCAUUAUUGACACACUUUUAUCCCUGUUUAUCUUCAAUAGUGACAUGAAUUUAAUAUCUAAGCUAUUGAUCACACCUAAUAAAUUGGUCAUUUCCACAUGUGCAACAUAUUUUGAAGGAUAUUCUAUUUUCACAGAAAAUUGGACAUAAAGGAGCAUUUUUGGAUAAAGCCUGAAACAAGCAAUGAACCAGACAAAGACGAAGACCAACGGGCCCAGGAAGGGCCUAGGCCGAUUGGCCUAUAUGGGCCUAGGCUGAUCGGCCUAGGGUCCUCUGGCCUCCUCUCGAUCUCAUUUUUGGUAACCAAUCCUCCAAGAUAACUUAAGCGCUAAGUUUGUGAAGACAUAGUAAAGAUCAGUUCGGAAUCAAAGAGGAUCAAGCGAAGAUUUGGAAAGUUAUCAAAGAUCAAUCUCAUCCUGAAGCUAUCGACGUGCCAGGCUCACAUGCAAGUGAAAAGAAGACUCCAUAGCACCUAAGAAGACUUGGGGACGAAGCAGGACGCGAGCGGGCAAAAACAAGGCCUAGGCCAAUUGGCCUGAGGGAUUCCUUCACCCCCUCACUUUCCAAUUUUCACCACGCGCUCCCUAGACUAUCAAUACCCCAAAAAAUCCACCGAG